GCUGGUGUGGCGCAGUGGUAGCGCAAUUGAUUCGUAAUCAAUAGGUCGUCAGUUCAAAUCUGACCGCCAGCU
rnacentral:tRNA from 1 species